rnacentral:tRNA from 1 species
AGCAGUGUGGCUCAGUGGAAAGAGCCCGGGCUUGGGAGUCAGAGGAUGUGGGUUCAAAUCCCGACUCUGCCA